rnacentral:rRNA from 1 species
GAUGAACGCUAGCGGGAGGCCUAACACAUGCAAGCCGAGCGGUAUUGUUUCUUCGGAAAUGAGAGAGCGGCGUACGGGUGCGGAACACGUGUGCAACCUGCCUUUAUCUGGAGGAUAGCCUUUCGAAAGGAAGAUUAAUACUCCAUAAUAUAUUAAUUGGCAUCAAUUGAUAUUGAAAACUCCGGUGGAUAGAGAUGGGCACGCGCAAGAUUAGCUAGUGGGCGAGGUAACGGCUCACCAAGGCAAUGAUCUUUAGGGGGCCUGAGAGGGUGAUCCCCCACACUGGUACUGAGACACGGACCAGACUCCUACGGGAGGCAGCAGUGAGGAAUAUUGGUCAAUGGGUGCAAGCCUGAACCAGCCAUCCCGCGUGAAGGAUUAAGGUCCUAUGGAUUGUAAACUUCUUUUGUAUAGGGAUAAACCUACCCUCGUGAGGGUAGCUGAAGGUACUAUACGAAUAAGCACCGGUUAACUCCGUGCCAGCCGCCGCGGUAAUAC